CGUUAUUUAAAUUUGGAUGGAUAUUACAUAGAGAUUAAUCCAGGCUCGUAUUUUAGUUCUAAUACGACAAUCGCUUUUACAAUGAAACAAACACUUGACUGCUAUAUACCCACAUGAUGUCCAAAGCACAACCUACAGUCAAAGAUAACACCUAAUCCUUAAUUUAUGAAACGCGAUCAAUCAUCUGAGUGUUAAUAUAAUAAUUAAUUAAAGACAUCAUCAGCGUAAAGAAGAAACUUUGAAAUUUUAAUAUAUCCACCUAUGUCGUUAAUGAAAACAAGGAAUAACAGGGGCCCAAUAUGGAAGCCCUGAGGAACACCAGAUGUAAUGUGAACCAAUUUAGAAAAAUGCCCAUUAAUUGCUACCAUUCAUUUGUGACCUAUGUAAAUGUAAGAAGUAAACCAACGUAGGAGUAUACCGAUCCCAGCUUAUGCUUAUACUUUGUUAAAAUAAAAUUCAAUAAAAUAAGAAACAUAAAAAUAAAAAAAUAAUAAUAAACAGCCAGUUAAAAGUAAAAGUGGUUUGUUGUUGUUCCAUAUUGUAUUUUUAAAU